rnacentral:rRNA from 1 species
GUGGGGAAUAUUGGACAAUGGGGGGAACCCUGAUCCAGCCAUGCCGCGUGUGUGAAGAAGGCCUUUUGGUUGUAAAGCACUUUAAGCGAGGAGGAGGCUACCGAGAUUAAUACUCUUGGAUAGUGGACGUUACUCGCAGAAUAAGCACCGGCUAACUCUGUGCCAGCAGCCGCGGUAAUACAGAGGGUGCAAGCGUUAAUCGGCUUUACUGGGCGUAAAGCGCGCGUAGGUGGCCAAUUAAGUCAAAGGUGACAUCCCCGAGCUUAACUUGGGAGUUGCAUUCGAUACUGGUUGGCUAGAGUAUAGGAGAGGAUGGUAGAAUUCCAGGUGUAGCGGUGAAAUGCGUAGAGAUCUGGAGGAAUACCGUUGGCGAAGGCAGCCAUCUGGCCUAAUACUGACACUGAGGUGCGAAAGCAUGGGGAGCAAACAGGAUUAGAAACCCGUGUAGUCC